rnacentral:rRNA from 1 species
GGAGCCUGGAGACAGGUGCUGCAUGGCUGUCGUCAGCUCGUGUCGUGAGAUGUUGGUUAAGUCCCGCAACGAGCGCAACCCCUAUCUUUAGUUGCCAUCAUUGAGUUGGGCACUCUAAAGAGACUGCCGGUGUCAAACCGGAGGAAGGUGGGGAUGACGUCAAGUCCUCAUGGCCUUUAUGACCAGGGCUACACACGUACUACAAUGGCCGGUACAAAGGGCAGCGACACAGCGAUGUGAAGCCAAUCCCGAAAAGCCGGUCUCAGUCCGGAUUGGAGUCUGCAACUCGACUCCAUGAAGUUGGAAUCGCUAGUAAUCGCGGAUCAGCACGCCGCGGUGAAUACGUUCCCGGGUCUU